rnacentral:rRNA from 1 species
CUACGGGAGGCAGCAGUGGGGAAUAUUGCACAAUGGGCGCAAGCCUGAUGCAGCAACGCCGCGUGAGCGAAGAAGGUCUUCGGAUCGUAAAGCUCUGUCCUUGGGGAAGAAACAAAUGACGGUACCCAAGGAGGAAGCCCCGGCUAACUACGUGCCAGCAGCCGCGGUAAUACGUAGGGGGCGAGCGUUAUCCGGAAUUAUUGGGCGUAAAGAGUACGUAGGUGGUUUUGUAAGCGUGGGGUGAAAGACCGAAGCUUAACUUCGGUUAGCCUUGCGAACUGCAGGACUUGAGUGCAGGAGAGGAAAGUGGAAUUCCUAGUGUAGCGGUGAAAUGCGUAGAUAUUAGGAGGAACAUCAGUGGCGAAGGCGACUUUCUGGACUGUAACUGACACUGAGGUACGAAAGCGUGGGUAGCAAACAGGAUUAGAUACCCUGGUAGUCCACGCCGUAAACGAUGAGCACUAGGUGUUGGGGGAACCCAGUGCUGUAGUUAACAUAUUAAGUACCCCGCCUGAGUAGUACGUACGCAAGUAUGAAACUCAAAUGAAUUGACGGCAAAGGGGGCGAAACCCCGACNGGACUUAAA